rnacentral:rRNA from 1 species
GUCGAACGCUGGCGGCGUGCUUAACACAUGCAAGUCGAACGGAAAGGCCCUGCUUUUGUGGGGUGCUCGCGUCGCGAACGGGUGAGUAACACGUGAGUAACCUGCCCUUGACUUUGGGAUAACUUCAGGCAACUGGGGCUACUACCUGCUACGAGCUCCUGCUGCAUGGUGGGGGUCGGAACGUUUCGGCGGUUGGGGAUGGACUCGCGGCUUAUCAGCUUGUUGGUGGGGGACUGGCUUACCAAGGCUUUGAUGGGUAGCCGGCCUGAGAGGUUGACCGGCGACAUUGGGACUGAGAGACGGCGCAGACUCCUAUGGGAGGCAGCAGUGGGGAAUAUUGCACAGUGGGCGGAAGCCUGAUGCAGCAACGCCGCGUGCGGGAUGACGGCCUUCGGGCUGUAAACCGCUUUCGCCUGUGACGAAGCGUGAGUGACGGUAAUAGGUAAAGAAGCACCGGCUAACUACGUG